rnacentral:rRNA from 1 species
UGUGAACUCGAAGAGUAGGGCGGGACACGUGGUAUCCUGUCUGAAUAUGGGGGGACCAUCCUCCAAGGCUAAAUACUCCUGACUGACCGAUAGUGAACCAGUACCGUGAGGGAAAGGCGAAAAGAACCCCGGCGAGGGGAGUGAAAAAGAACCUGAAACCGUGUACGUACAAGCAGUGGGAGCACCUUCGGGUGUGACUGCGUACCUUUUGUAUAAUGGGUCAGCGACUUAUAUUCUGUAGCAAGGUUAACCGUAUAGGGGAGCCGCAGGGAAACCGAGUCUUAACUGGGCGUUAAGUUGCAGGGUAUAGACCCGAAACCCGGUGAUCUAGCCAUGGGCAGGUUGAAGGUUGGGUAACACUAACUGGAGGACCGAACCGACUAAUGUUGAAAAAUUAGCGGAUGACUUGUGGCUGGGGGUGAAAGGCCAAUCAAACCGGGAGAUAGCUGGUUCUCCCCGAAAGCUAUUUAGGUAGCGCCUCGUGAACUCAUCUUCGGGGGUAGAGCACUGUUUCGGCUAGGGGGUCAUCCCGACUUACCAACCCGAUGCAAACUACGAAUACCGAAGAAUGUUAUCACGGGAGACACACGGCGGGUGCUAACGUCCGUCGUGAAGAGGGAAACAACCCAGACCGCCAGCUAAGGUCCCAAAGUCAUGGUUAAGUGGGAAACGAUGUGGGAAGGCACAGACAGCCAGGAUGUUGGCUUAGAAGCAGCCAUCAUUUAAAGAAAGCGUAAUAGCUCACUGGUCGAGUCGGCCUGCGCGGAAGAUGUAACGGGGCUAAACCAUGCACCGAAGCUGCGGCAGCGACACUAUGUGUUGUUGGGUAGGGGAGCGUUCUGUAAGCCUGCGAAGGUGUGCUGUGAGGCAUGCUGGAGGUAUCAGAAGUGCGAAUGCUGACAUAAGUAACGAUAAAGCGGGUGAAAAGCCCGCUCGCCGGAAGACCAAGGGUUCCUGUCCAACGUUAAUCGGGGCAGGGUGAGUCGACCCCUAAGGCGAGGCCGAAAGGCGUAGUCGAUGGGAAACAGGUUAAUAUUCCUGUACUUGGUGUUACUGCGAAGGGGGGACGGAGAAGGCUAUGUUAGCCGGGCGACGGUUGUCCCGGUUUAAGCAUGUAGGCUGAUUGUCCAGGCAAAUCCGGAUAAUCAAGGCUGAGGUGUGAUGACGAGGCACUACGGUGCUGAAGUAACAAAUGCCCUGCUU